rnacentral:rRNA from 1 species
GGGCCCGCACAAGCGGUGGAGCAUGUGGUUCAAUUCGACGCAACGCGCAGAACCUUACCUGGUCUUGACAUCCUCGGAACCUGCCAGAGAUGGCGGGGUGCCCGCAAGGGAGCCGAGAGACAGGUGCUGCAUGGCUGUCGUCAGCUCGUGUCGUGAGAUGUUGGGUUAAGUCCCGCAACGAGCGCAACCCUCUCCUUUAGUUGCCACCAAAAGUGGAUCUCUAGAGGGACUGCCGGUGUUAAACCGGAGGAAGGUGGGGAUGACGUCAAGUCCUCAUGGCCUUUAUGACCAGGGCUACACACGUGCUACAAUGGCCGGUACAAAGCGCUGCCAACCCGCGAGGGGGAGCCAAUCGCAUAAAACCGGUCUCAGUUCAGAUUGGAGUCUGCAACUCGACUUCAUGAAGGCGGAAUCGCUAGUAAUCGUAGAUCAGCACGCUACGGUGAAUACGUUCCCGGGCCUU